GACGAACGCUGGCGGCGUGCUUAACACGUGCAAGUCGAACGGAAAGGCCCUUCGGGGUCCUCGAGUGGCGAACGGGUGAGUAACACGUGGGUGAUCUGCCCUGCACUUUGGGAUAAGCCUGGGAAACUGGGUCUAAUACCGAAUAGGACCACGCGCUUCAUGGUGUGUGGUGGAAAGCUUUUGCGGUGUGGGAUGGGCCCGCGGCCUAUCAGCUUGUUGGUGGGGUAAUGGCCUACCAAGGCGACGACGGGUAGCCGGCCUGAGAGGGUGACCGGCCACACUGGGACUGAGAUACGGCCCAGACUCCUACGGGAGGCAGCAGUGGGGAAUAUUGCACAAUGGGCGCAAGCCUGAUGCAGCGACGCCGCGUGAGGGAUGACGGCCUUCGGGUUGUAAACCUCUUUCACCAGGGACGAAGCGUAAGUGACGGUACCUGGAGAAGAAGCACCGGCCAACUACGUG
rnacentral:rRNA from 1 species